AAAAAAAAAAAAGAAUUUGAAAAGACAUCAUAGCAAAGAAGAUAUACAAAUAGCCAAUAAACACACAAAAAAAUGUUCUACAUUGGCUGAAUCUGCCCACAUGUCACCACUAUCACCACCACCCCCAUCCUGGCUCCCCCAGGUUCCCUCAGCCCAGCCUAGUUCAGCCUGGUUCCCAGGAGGAUGAAGUUCGUGUACAAAGAAGAGCAUCCGUUCAAGAAACACGCUGCUCCCAGAGCGAGAAGAUUGGAACGAAAUACCCAGACCGGGUGCCAGUGAUAGUAGAAAAAGCUCCCAAAGCUUGGAUAGGAGACCUGGACAAAAAGAAAUACCUGGUGCCUUCUGAUCUCACAGUUGGUCAGUUCUACUUUUUGAUCCGGAAGCGAAUUCAUCUCCGAGCUGAGGAUGCCUUGCUUUUCUCUGUCAACAAUGUCAUUCUGCCCACCAGUGCCACAAUGGGUCAGCUCUACCAGGAACACCAUGAAGACUUCUUUCUCUACGUUGCCUACAGUGAUGAAAGUGUCUACGGUCUGUGAUGCUGCUGCCCCUGAGCUGAAGGGGGGGGUCUCAUUCUGCAAAGAGAGGUGGCCUUCCUUUCUUGACCUCCUCCUCCAAGCUCAAACACCACCUCCCUCAUUCAGGACCGGCACUUCUUACUGUUUGAGGCUUUCUCUCCAGCCUCUCUUAGGAUGGGUAAUGGUGGAGUUGGCAUCUCGUACCUCUCCUUUCUCCUUUCUUCCCCUUUCUCUGCCUGCCUUUCCCACUCUGCUUUAGACUUCUUGAUUGUCAGUCUCUGUAACAUCCAGUGGUUGUUUUGGUUUCUGUUCCUUUUCUGAUCGCCCAAGGGGCUCAGAACCCCAGCAAUCCCUUCCUUUUACUACCUUCUUUUUGGGGGGUAGUUGGAAGGGACUGAAAUUGUGAGGGGACCACCAAAAAAAAAAUGCUCCACAGUUAUUAGGGAACUAAAAAUCAAAACCACCUAAGAAACCACUUCAUGCCUACUUGGAAGGCUAUAAUCAAGAAGAUAGACAAUAACAAAUAUUGGCAACGAUGUAGAGAAAUCGAAGCCCUUGUACAUUGCUGGUGGGAAUGUAAAAUGGUGUAGCCACUUUGGACACCUUUACCACAUGACCCAACAAUUCUACUCCUAGGUAUAUACCCAAAAGAAAUGAAAAAUAUGUCCAUACAAAAACUUACACAGUAAUGUUCUUACCAGAAUUAUUCAUAACAUCUAAAAAGUAGAAACAAACUAAAAGUCCGUCAACUGAUGAAUGAAUAAAAUGUGGCACAUUCAUAAUGGGGUAUCAUCCAGCCACAGAAAGGAAUGAGGUACAGACACAGACACACACACACACACACACACACACACACACACACACGGACGAACCUUGAAAACAUUAUGCAAGUGACUAAUAGAAGCCAGUCCACAGAAGACCACAUAUUGUAUGGUUCCACUUAUAUGAAAUGUCCAGAAUAGGAAAAUCCAUAGACAUAGAAAAUAGAUUAGUAAUUCUUUAGGACUGGGGGCCAAAAAGGGGGGGGGAAGAGAAGUGGAGAAUGACAUAUAAUGGGUACAGGGUUUCUUUUGGGGGUGAUGAAAAUAUUCUAAACUUAGAUUGUGUUGAUGCUUGAACAAAACCCACAGCAUAUUACACCUAAGGAGAUGAAUUUUAUGGUAUGUGAAUUAUAUCUCAAUAAAGAUGUUUAAAACAACACAACAAACAUUACAAAAGUUAGGUCUGGGAAGACUAAUUCUAACAACAACUCACAGAAGAUGGGAUCCUUACGGGUCAACUAUGCCUACUUCCAAAAAGGGCAGAGAUAAGAAACUGUAGUGGAAAAUAGUUGAGUUUCCAUAACUUUUCUGAAACACUGAGAAUGUCCUCCAAUAAUCCUCAUGAUUAUCACUUUGAAGCUGGUUGUACAGAGAUAGUCAUCUAAAAGUAACGAUGCAAAAAUAAUAAAGGAUAGAAAGGGAGAGAUGCUGCCCACAGUGAGAAUUCAUGGAAAAGCUGAGGCCAUGAGUCCCAAGUCUCUUUCAUCACAGUCACAUACUCUAUCCAUUAGGGAAACCACUUUCCCAAUGGAUAAAAGCACUCACAUCAUUGAUUGAUUGUAAAAAAAAGCAUUACAUAUUAGAUACCAAUAAUAAUCCACAAAUAUGAAGUGUUACCUUAAUGCCAAAUAACCGUGCCCACUGGAAAUCAUAGUUCCCCAUAGCCUCACUUAAGCGGGGCUAAAAUAGUGGUUUUAUACUAUAUCCGUUAAGCAUGGUGGAGGCAGGUAGGGGUUCCCUGUUAUAUCUCUGAGUUUACCUGAUAGGCCUUCCUUCUGAUGCCUAAUGAUGGCAAGUUACUGUUCUACAACACAGUUUUCCCACUUAAACAAUUAUUUCUAAUCUAAUCCUGUUAAAACUACUUUCUAGUCAAUGUUAUCUUAAGCCAAGAACUCAAUUUCCACAUUUCCAGACAUCACCUUCAUAUAAGACUGCUUUUAGGGGUGG